rnacentral:lncRNA from 10 species
UGCAGAGUGGCAAUGCUGGAAUUUGAAGCCAGGCUUUUCUGAUUCUGAAUUCCAUGUUUUCUUACUUGCCUUUUUCUUCUGCUCCAGCUUGCAGUGCCUCGGAGAGGUGGCGCUGGCUAGCCUGGGACUUCCAACAUACAGCCUACAUUGAUGGCCUGAGACUUGUGGCAAAAAAGACUUUCAAAAUCUAAUUUGCUCACAUACAUGAACACCUGCCAGGAAGGAAUUUGAGGCCUUUGUUCUAAACAUGGAAAAGCUGAGUUCAUUUGCCCCAGAGGGGGCACCUGCAGGGAAAAGGAAAAAUGGUUUUAACCCUUUCCUUGAGUCAGAAAAUGAGGCCACCAGAUUCUCCUUUCAUCCUUCAAGUAUCAGAAAGGUCUGUGCUGUGAAUUCCACAGAUGAGAUUCAUUGCAAGAUGUGAGGGCAGAGGAAAUCCAUGGAAAUGAAAUCCACAUUCAAACUGGAUGCAUGCGUUCAGCAACUGGAAGCUGAGUUCAUAUUUCAUUGCCCAACUACCCUGACCACUUGGGAAUCGCAGGUUUGGAAGGACCCACAGCCAUUCUGUGGAAAUGGAUCUGCUUUCAGGACCGAAUCUCAGACUUCUUGGGGAAGGUUUCAGUGGCUGCCUUUGCUGUGCAGACCUGGAGAUGGGUCUGAUGAUCGGACACCUGAAUUAUCUGUGUGGCUGAGUUUCAAGAAGACCUGCUGGGGUGAAAUGAAAAUGGUGCCUACUAGAAGCCCCAGUGGCUUUGCUGGUGGAGAUUUGCUCCUCCACUGGCUCUUCUUGUAGACACACGACUGCUACAGUAUCAAGGGUCUGAUGCAGACAUGACAAUGUCAAGAGGAAGAGGAGAGCCUCGCUCUUCCCAGGCUUUUGCUUUUAAGAGCAGAAAAACUUUCCCCAGAGUUCCACCAGCUCACUUCUCAUCUUACUUCUUUGGCCAGAACUGGCCCUUGUGCCCAUAUUGUCAGUCAAAUGCCGACAAAGGAAAGGGGCCACUAUGAGUGGUUUAGACUUGGAUUGGAUUUGUCCUUAUUGGAUUGUCCUUAAGUCCUUUGAAAAAGAAGUAUACAACAGAAUGAAAUCUUGACUCAGCUUUCAAGAAUAAAGAGGGUGAGAUGACUGAUGGAUGGCUAGCAAAAUCAGAUGUGGGCUCUGUCCUCAUGGAGCAUACAGUCAGAAGGGGAAGAUUUACCUAAUUACACUAACAAACUUAUAACUGUGGUCAGUGUUCUGAAGGAAAGGAAAUCCAGUUGUAUGGUAACGUAUAACAAAGAAACUGAACUAGGAUGGAGAUGGGGGUGGUAAGUGUAGUUGGGGAAGCCAGGGACAUGAUCUGUAAGAUGGCUGGCCUGGAUUCAAAUUCCACUCCACUUACUUGCUGUGUGAUUUUAGAUUAGUCGCUUCUCCUCUCUGAGCUCAACUUCAUCUAUAACAAUCUUUCCUAGGGUUGUUAAAGGAUUGAAUGAGCCACUCUAUGUAACCACUUGACACAUAUUAGGCACUUCAGUGGCUCCUUUUCCAGAUUAAAGAAGGAGAAAACGUGUAUGUUUGGAGUUAGCACAAGACAGGAUGAUUCCUCAUGUUUGUUUUGGAAAACAAGUCUUAAACUCACAGCCAUGACAGAGUCUGACAUCAUCAGACAUCAGGCGUGUUAAGAAUUGCACUCUUAAUUGAAAAUGUCCAGAGUUUGUGAUUAAUUGCAAUCCUUUUCAGAUCCUUUCCCUAAGAAUUUAAUUUUUCUCCCCACCCACCCGGAGGUCAGGCUUUUAAUGUAACAAGUACAAUCAAUCUUCCACUGAAGAUGGCCUCUCUCUAGUGCAAGCUGGAGCAGGACUCAUCUGGAUUAGAAGCCUAGACGGUUUGGAGUCACCUGGUGAGGUUUACGUGCACAGCUGGGGCCCAGCCUACCUAAUUAGGACCAGAGAGUGGUUGAGAAGGGGACCGGCGCGUAUUCUAGGCGCCCUCCUCCAGUGUCUGUUUCUAAUAAUGGCAGAAAGUAGCAGAGGCGGCGGGGUGAGCUUGGAGCGUGGUGACAUCAUCCCUCCAGCUGUUUUACACAUCUGUGACAUGGCUCAUUAGGACUCUCUUAACACCUCAUCCUUCCCUGCUCCACACAGCUCCAGUUGCAUGAGAAAAGGUGCUCUUGCAUGUGAGGGGCCCCAAGACUGGGGCUGACUUCAGGGUCAAAGAUUCGCUUGGGCACUCUACCAGUCAUCAGAAUUUUCACAGAGACACCCCCCCAACACACACACCCGCAGCAUGCGCUCCUUGAAAGUGCUAAUAGCUUCAAUAUGAGGCUGGCACUUCUGCAUGACUGUUGGUGUUCAGGGCCAGCCUAGUCUUGGGGAGUAGGCCAUCUGUAGCAGCUGCAGAAAUGUUUUUGCUUAUUUUGAGCAUUCUAAGUUUUUCCUAGCCAUGAAUAACAACAAUCGAAUAAAUCAUCCCACAGUGUGUAGGAUGGUCGUUUUUUUGUUUUUUUUUUUCAGCAAGAACAACAAAAAAUGACAUAUCAUGUACUAUGGAUAAUACACAUAAAAAAUUCCGCCAUAUUUAUAGGCAGCAGUUAACUAACUAUAUUUAGAUAUUUGAAACUGUCUUAAAUCAGAUGAAUGAUAAAAGCUUCCUGGAUUUCAGUGGAAAGCCUAAAUGACUAAACCAAAAAAAAAAAAAAAAGUUUUAUUACUAUGAAGUAUAGUGCAUAUUCUGAAAUAAAAGAUAUGUGAUAUUUAUAAAAUAAAAAGAGAAACUUUGUCAAUAGACAGCAUCAUUUAAUAAAGCAGGGUCCCAGAUUUACAGACCUUUGUUUGAGUUCUAAAAUUUACUAGGAAGGAGGGUGCAGGGGUGGAAGCCGUUCAUUGUAGCUCUUUAAAUUUCCUCACUUUUGAAUGGAGAUGAUAAAAUGCCCCUCACAGGGUUUUUGAGAGGACUAAAAAUAUAAGGUAUGGAAAGUGUUUAGCAUUGUGCCUAUCACAAAGUUAGUGCUUGAAUAUAUUAGCUAUUGUCAUUAAUACUAUUGCUAUUCUUAUUUCUUCUACAACUGUUAUUGUUGAAAUGCGAAGUCAAAAUGGUACAUUUUUAUCAACUAUUAAGUGCUAUCAUGUUUCAAUUAAUACAUAAUGUUAUUGAUUAGAAGAUGAUUAUAGUAUUGUCUCUAAGGAAGAAAAAAGGCUGCCUGUUAAACCAUGGUUUAACAAAUUCUGGAGUACGGGCGCAGUGGCUCAUGCCUGUAAGCCCAGAACUUUGGGAGGCCGAGGCUCACGAGGUCAGGAGUUGGAGACCAGCCUGACCAACGUGGUGAAACCCCAUCUCUACUAAAAAUGCAAAAAUUAGCCUGGCGUGGUGGCGCACGCCUGUAAUCCCAGGUACUCAGGAGGCUGAGGCAGGAGAAUUGCUUAAACCCAGUAGGCGGAGGUUGCAGUGAGCCGAGAUUGUGCCACUGCACUCCAGCCUGGGCGACAGCGACAGAGCAAGACUCCGUCCGCCCCCCCUCCCGCCCCCACCCUAAAAAAAGAAUCAAAUUCUGGAAAGCAUCAAUCAUCUCUCAGGCCUUUGAAAAUGAUCUAAUUUUGUAGAUCAAACCCUCUGUGCUUGCAGGUAGGCUCACGAAUGCAGAAAGUGCAUGCUGUGAGCCAUGCUGUACACCUCCUCAUUGUCCAUUUCUCUUCUGGUAUCUCUCAAGGUGUGUGGUCAGGUUAAGAGAUUGAGACUUAAGCCAGGCAGGUGUUACUUCCUCUCACCAUGACAAAACCUGGGACAAUGAGAAGAGGAUAGAUUCUUUCCUCCCGAGGGUGCUGAGGCAGGAUCAGAAUCUCUCCCUCGGGUCUGAAACAGAUCAUAUAGAAGGUUCAAAGCUGCAAGAACCAUUCUGAAACCAUAAGAAUCCUGAGAACGAAGCCCACCUCAUGCUAAUUGUGGAGACCAAGCUUAUUUGAGUUUACUUGAGCCCUUGGAUCCAGCCGUGCCUGAAGACUUUUUAAUAACAGGAAUAAAAAAUUCUAUUUUGGAUAAAGCACUUUGAGUUGGAUUUUCUAUUACUUGCAGCUUAAAAGCUGAAAUGGUCCUAUGUGAUAAGGGAAUGAGACGAUGAUUUUGAGCAUUUAAUCU